rnacentral:rRNA from 1 species
AACGAACGCUGGCGGCAGGCCUAACACAUGCAAGUCGAGCGAGGACUUCGGUCCUAGCGGCGGACGGGUGAGUAACGCGUGGGAACGUGCCCUUUGGUACGGAAUAGCCCCGGGAAACUGGGAGUAAUACCGUAUGGUGUCUUCGGACUAAAGAUUUAUCGCCAAAGGAUCGGCCCGCGUUGGAUUAGGUAGUUGGUGGGGUAAUGGCCUACCAAGCCGACGAUCCAUAGCUGGUUUGAGAGGAUGAUCAGCCACACUGGGACUGAGACACGGCCCAGACUCCUACGGGAGGCAGCAGUGGGGGAUCUUAGACAAUGGGGGCAACCCUGAUCUAGCCAUGCCGCGUGAGUGAUGAAGGCCCUAGGGUUGUAAAGCUCUUUCAGCUGGGAAGAUAAUGACGGUACCAGCAGAAGAAGCCCCGGCUAACUCCGUG